GACAGAGGGUGCAACCGUUGUUCGGAAUUACUGGGCGUAAAGCGCGUGUAGGCGGCCCGGAAAGUCGGAUGUGAAAGCCCUGGGCUUAACCCAGGAAGUGCAUUCGAAACUCCCGGGCUUGAGUUCUGGAGAGGAAGGCGGAAUUCUCGGUGUAGCGGUGAAAUGCGCAGAUAUCGGGAAGAACACCCGUGGCGAAGGCGGUUCUCUGGGACGGUACUGACGCUGAGACGCGGAAGCGUGGGGAGCGAACAGG
rnacentral:rRNA from 1 species